AAAUUGGAAUUCGAUUAGAAGAGUUACGUUGGCGAAAAACAAGUACAUGGCCAGUAUUACUCUUGUUGCCAUAAAAAUUAACUAUGCAUUCAGAAUAAUUAUUUGUCUCCAAAUAUAAAACAGGUGCUAAAAUGCAAUGCGUGAUAUUCAAUGAGCUAGACCAAGAAUAGGGUCUAGAAAAUGUAUGUCUUCUAUAGAAAGUGGCAGCAAAUGUUCAGACUUUGAGAUGCCAACUCUUCUGAUCUGUGAAAUCAAGGGCUCAUAGGUGGAAGGGACUUGCCUUGUCUCAAAUGAGACUUUGGAUGGUGGACUUUUGAGUUAAUGCUGGAAUGAGUUAAGACUUUGUGGGGGCUGUUGGGAAGAUGUGAUUAUAUUUUGCAAUGUGAGAAGAACCUGAGAUUUGGGAGGGGCUGGAGUGAAAUAAUGUGUUUUCUAUCUGUGCCCCUAUUCAAAUUUCAUGUCCAAUUGUAAUCCUCAGUGUGGAGGUGGGGCCUGGCGGAAGGUGAUUAGGUCAUGAGGGCAGUUUUGAAUGGUUUAAAACCAUACCCCUUGGUUCUGUUCUCAUGAUAUUAAGUGAGUUCUCAAUAGAUAUGGUUGAUUAAAAGUGUGUAGCACCUCCCCCUCUCUUCCUCCUGUUUCAACCAUGGAAGACAUGGCUACUUCUCAUUCACCUUCCACUAUGAUUGAAGGUUUUCUGAGGUCAGCCCAAAGUUAUCAUGCUUCCUCUAUGGCAUGUGGAAUCAUGAUCCAAUUAAGUCUCUACUCUUUAUAAAUAACCCAGUCCUAGGUAUUUCUUUAUAGUGCAUGAGAACAGACAAUAUAUCCCACUUUUAAUAAUAGAUGGAGAAAUAAUCAACAGGGAAAUAGACUUAAAUAACACUAAUAACCAACUAGAUUUGAUAGGCAUGCAUAGAGAAAUCACCAAACAGUAGCAAAAUACUUAUUCUUGUCAUUCAUAGG